rnacentral:lncRNA from 1 species
GUAAAUGUCAAGAUCAUGUGCCCGCUUAGAUAUUCCAGAUAGUGAUAGGCCCAUCUUAGAUAAUUGCUAAACCUCUGUUUUUGAGUCGCUCGACUAGUCGCGACUAGUCGUCGACUAGUCUGUGAGUCGCACUGGCAGGGUCGACUCAGCCUGGCGACUCGACUCAUGGGAUGAGUCGAGCGACUCGAGCGACUAGUCUCGACUAGUCACGACUAGUCGUGUUUUUUGGGUCGAACGACUCAAUUUUUUUGGGCCGGCCUGUCAUAUGUUUUUUUACUGUAUCGAACCAUCCCCCGUGGAAACCUAGAUCGAACAUGUUCCCCUCCCCCGACCCAACCCUCUCCUUGGCAGCCGCCGCCUCCCCUGGUUGCUGGCUUGCUGCUCCUCCCCUGGUUGCUGCUGCUGGUCUGCUCCUCCCCUGGUUGCUGCUCUUGCUGGUCUUCUCCUCCCCUGGUUGCUGCUCUUGCUGGUAUGCUCCUCCCCUCCUCCCCUGGUUGCUGCUGCUGGUAUGCUCCUCCCCUCAUCCCCUGGUUGUUGCUGCUGCUGGUCUGCUCCUCCUCUCCUCCCCUGGUUGUUGUUGUUGGUGGUGGUGGGGGUCUGCUCCUCCCCUGGUUGUGCAUGAACAAGGGUGGUUGUGCAUGAUGAAGAGUUGAGGGCUGAAUUGGAACCACUCAAGAACAAGGCUGGUUUUAUUGUACCUACUUUCUAUUGCUUAACUCACGUCGACUCGUUGCAUGUCGACUCAUCGACCAUGAGUCUAGACUAGUCACGACUAGUCUAGAGUCGCUCCCCCCGAGCGACUCGUCGACUCAUCUACUCGAAAACCUUGUGCUAAACUAUAUUUUCCUUGCUUUCAGAAGAAGUCAUAUGUAUUGAUUGGAAAUUCAUGCACGCCGCCUUUUUAACUCUGUUAGUUGGAGGCAUCAUGUAGGAAAUUCAUGUGUGCACUCUGCAUUAUCUAGUUCCUUGUGUUACUUUGACAUCCCCAUACCUUUGUUCUAGAAAAUUCUGAU